GACGAACGCUGGCGGCGUGCCUAAUACAUGCAAGUAGAACGCUGAAGAGAGGAGCUUGCUCUUCUUGGAAGAGUUGCGAACGGGUGAGUAACGCGUAGGUAACCUGCCUUGUAGCGGGGGAUAACUAUUGGAAACGAUAGCUAAUACCGCAUAACAAUGGGUGACCCAUGUCAUUCAUUUGAAAGGGGCAACUGCUCCACUACAAGAUGGACCUGCGUUGUAUUAGCUAGUAGGUGAGGUAACGGCUCACCUAGGCGACGAUACAUAGCCGACCUGAGAGGGUGAUCGGCCACACUGGGACUGAGACACGGCCCAGACUCCUACGGGAGGCAGCAGUAGGGAAUCUUCGGCAAUGGGGGCAACCCUGACCGAGCAACGCCGCGUGAGUGAAGAAGGUUUUCGGAUCGUAAAGCUCUGUUGUAAGUCAAGAACGAGUGUGAGAGUGGAAAGUUCACACUGAGACGGAGCUACCAGAAAGGA
rnacentral:rRNA from 1 species